rnacentral:rRNA from 1 species
AAAAGGAAAGCUCCCUCCCUCAUCAUCAAACUCGACUUCAGGAAAGCUUUUGACUAUGUUUGUUGGACGACCCUCCUCCAUACCCUUCAGGUUAGAGAUUUCCCCCCUCGUUGGUGCGACUGGAUUCACUCUCUCCUAAACACUAGAUCCACUGUCGUUGUGCUAAAUGGCAUCCAUGGGAGGUGGAUUCAGUGUAAAAAUGGCCUCCGGUAGGGCAACCCUCUCUCCCCUUACCUUUUCAUUAUUGUCGCGGAUACCCUCCAACAAUUGAUCAUCAAAGCCAACCAUGAAGGUAAGUUGUUGCACCCCGUAAGUCCUCACCUUCCCUGCCCCGUCCUUCAAUAUGCCGACGACACGCUUAUCAUAGUUAAAGCUACGCCUGGGGCCGCCAAACACCUCAAGAGUAUUUUAGACAACUUCGCCGUGGCCACUGGUCUCCAGAUCAAUUUUGAUUAG